AAGGCUAGCUGGGUAUUGCGUCCCUUGGAUUCACCUGUCUCCUUGCCUCCUACCACUGGGGUUAAAGGUAUUAUUAACUACCUACAUUUUAUCUAUUCAAGACUGUAUUAGUUUGUGUGAGCUGCUGUAACAAAAUACCACCAUCAGGGGUGAGUCAACAAAGAUUCAUCACUGCAGUCCUGAAGCGACUCUGAAAUCCAAGGGUUGUGGGGCCUUGCUCCUCUUUUGGAGACUCUGGCUGUGUCUGUCCAGAACUACUAGAGGACUACUAAGAUUAUUAAGGUCACAAGUUUCCAAGGGAAGGAAGCAGUUAAACUGUUCUUCUUAUCUGUAACACCAAGGACCGUGACAAUUAUCAGCAUGGCAAGAUAUGAAUAAAAGUGCAGUAAGUGACACUCAUGUGUCAGUGGCAACCAAUAGUUGUGUAAUUGAAAUUAAAACUUAGUCAAAAGGAAGAAAUUUAUGUCUGGUACUGAGAACUUAGCCAGAUUCCCAAGGCUAGUGAAGUCAUGAACCUUAGAACAUAAUCAUCUAUUGCUAAAUCAGUAUAGUUUCUUGCUACAUUCUAAAUUUUAUCCUUACUACGUAAGUGUAGCUACCGUACCUCAUCAAAGAAGCUUCUCUUUAUAGCAAACGAGAACCAUCAUAGAAAACCACAUCUGAACAUAAUGAAGAGUGUUGCAAGGAGAGCCAGGCUACUUGUUCAUCCCUGCUGCCCGGCUAGUUUCGCCCCGAAAUAACCACACAGAAACUGUAUUAAUUCAAACAUUGCUUGGUCCAUUCGCUCAAGAUUCUUAUUGACUAAUUCUUACAUCUUAAUUUAACCAAUUUCUAUUAAUUUGUG